AGUCAAAAUUAUUUUAAGACAGCGAAUAAUUUGAUGCAAGAUAAGCAGCAUGAUCUUCAGGUGUUCUGAAUUCCAAAUGUUCAUUUCAGAUUGUGAUUGCUUCUCUACUUGGAGUUUUCCUGGCUCCUGCUCUUGCCGACUAUAACAUGGAGAAUAACUUUAAUGAGCAGCCCAGUGAAAACUCAAUCUACUCUGGGAUCAGGGUCAGCACCACCCCAAAGGAUGGGUCUGAGGCCUGGAAAACCGUCUGGGACUUCAAGGCUGGCUACGUUGCAACCAAGGUGUUUUCAAAGAACACCUGCAUCAUUGCUACAACCAGCAAGAGGUUUUGGCUUGGCAAACCCUUUCCUACACCACCUCCAGGAGACGAGGUACUCGGGCCUUACCAAUUGCCACCCAGAGAGAAUCGCUUCAUCAUCUCCAGGAACAGACUCCAAAGCUUGAGCCCGUAUGGAAAACGCAUCCAAGCCCUGUGCAGAGGAAUUCCCUCCUACCUCGCCUACCC